rnacentral:lncRNA from 1 species
ACACCUAUAAUUUCCUCAAACAAGAAUUGAUUCAAAUGCAUUGUGGAAACGCCGGCUCUGACAUGCCAUAGUUCAUAGAAAUCUCAUGGAUGUCAAGGCAGUACACAUGCUAGAAGGGUAGGACCUAAAUAUUCUAGGAGUAGUAGAGAGUGGUUAACAUAAUUUUAUUUUGAAAAUAGUACAAGGGUGGCUUCAGAAGUAGAAAGGUUUUUUCAGAAACAGGAACAACUUAGUGGGAAAAGACAGUUUGAGAAGAGUACCAAAACAACAGACAAUUGGUUGGUCAUAAGAGACAUUUAGACUCAGGAAAUGAACAUUUAACAAACAGAUCUCAUAUAAGAAUGGUGGCACAUAAGAAUCACAUUAGGGUACAUGGAUAGGGAUAAAGGAAAUAUAUAUUCACAAAUUGCAUACAGCACUUAGAACCUUGGGGACUUUAACAGAUCAGUCAUGCUACGCAAAGAAAUAAAGAGGACAAAGUGCAUACAUUGAAAAUGACAUAAAUUUAG